rnacentral:rRNA from 1 species
GAUGAACGCUGGCGGCGUGCUUAACACAUGCAAGUCGAACGGUGAAGGCGGAGCUUGCUCUGCUGGAUCAGUGGCGAACGGGUGAGUAACACGUGAGCAAUCUGCCCCUGACUUUGGGAUAAGCGCUGGAAACGGCGUCUAAUACUGGAUACGAGCUGCGCAGGCACCUUCAGCAGCUGGAAAGAAUUUCGGUCAGGGAUGAGCUCGCGGCCUAUCAGCUUGUUGGUGAGGUAAUGGCUCACCAAGGCGUCGACGGGUAGCCGGCCUGAGAGGGUGACCGGCCACACUGGGACUGAGACACGGCCCAGACUCCUACGGGAGGCAGCAGUGGGGAAUAUUGCACAAUGGGCGAAAGCCUGAUGCAGCAACGCCGCGUGAGGGACGACGGCCUUCGGGUUGUAAACCUCUUUUGGCAGGGAAGAAGCGAAAGUGACGGUACCUGCAGAAAAAGCGCCGGCUAACUACGUG